rnacentral:rRNA from 1 species
AGCGAACGCUGGCGGCAGGCCUAACACAUGCAAGUCGAGCGGCCGUAGCAAUACGGCAGCGGCAGACGGGAGAGUAACACGUGGGAACGUACCCUUUGGUUCGGAACAACACAGGGAAACUUGUGCUAAUACCGGAUAAGCCCUUACGGGGAAAGAUUUAUCGCCAAAGGAUCGGCCCGCGUCUGAUUAGCUAGUUGGUGGGGUAACGGCCCACCAAGGCGACGAUCAGUAGCUGGUCUGAGAGGAUGAUCAGCCUCACUGGGACUGAGACACGGCCCAGACUCCUACGGGAGGCAGCAGUGGGGAAUUUUGGACAAUGGGGGCAACCCUGAUCCAGCCAUGCCGCGUGCGGGAAGAAGGCCUU